UAUUAGCGUCGUUGAAAACCAAACCCGCGUCCGCCCCCCUCCUCCAUCCUCGAUCGACAUAUCAAGCCCUCCUCUGCCUCCUCCUCCCUCCCCUCCGGCCUUCUUCUGUUGCAAGAAACCGGUUCUUCCUCUCCCUCCGCCCGCACCCAUCCCGCCUCCUCUCUCUCUCUCUCUCUCUCGCUCUCUCGCCCUCUCUCGUUUCUUCUUCGCCCCGAUUCUUCUCCCUUCCCCCCUCCCGUCGCCUCGAUUCUUCUUCAUCCUCUCCCUCCGAACCCCGCAUUGCCUCCCAUAAAAAAUGACCGACGCCGAGCCCUCCUCCCCCUCCUCUGCCGCCUCCGCCGACUUUUGAUGCGCCGCCGUCUGCUCCACCUCCGCCACUGCGGCCGAGGCCAGCCCGCCGUCGUCGUCGGUGUGCUCCGCCUGUGGCGGCCCCACCGCCUCCAUCUCCUCUGCCGCCGGCCGCCACUUCCUUGGCUUCGUCGCCGAUCUCUCCCACUCUGUCCGCGGCCGCAAGAUCUCCGCCACUUUCCUUCUUUCAAUAUUCUGUGCCUUUAUCAUGAAUGAGGUCUGAUUCAGAAGAAUUACUAACGUGAUCUUGUUCUGGACCAUGUUAAUGCAGUGCAAAUGCUUUUAUUGUUUCCAAAAGAUUAAUUCCAUUCGUUUUAUGGAUUUUCCUGAAAUAUUAGGUUUAUGACAAAAUUUUACAUAGAGUGUGACUUCUAUGACUGUGUGGCGAAAUUGUUGUCUAAUUAGCAGGAUUUUCUAAUGACCAAAUUAUGCAACGCACUGUGAUGGUCCCUUUCUACAAAAAUCAGUUUUGUUAUUUUAAAAAUUUUUGGAAUAUGGUAGCAAAUUUGGUGUUUGGCAGACUGCUAUGUGAUUCAGGUUUGAUCCCAGGCAAAUGCGAGCAGAUCACAUGUAGUUUUAUAGCCUAAGUUAGAUACUUUUUUUUUUAUCAUGCUUGACGAUUCCUUUUAUGACAAAAAAAUUAAGGUUCUGUCUCUCUCAAUGGGUAGUUUCUACACAUUAUAGAAGAUUAGUGUUAUUUUGAGUUAUGCUGGAAUGUUGAAAGGGGAAGACAGAUAUUAUUGCUAGUAUAUAUGCAGAAUACAAUACCUUUGUUUGUUCCCACAUUAUAUUUUAUCCUUGGGUAUCAUAGAGAACAAUAUCUAAUAUGUCACAGUUGUUCUGAGUUGUAUCUGGGCAAUGUGUUGAGCUGGUCCUUAAGUUUAGAAUGGUCAAUGAAAUAACAACAAUUAUUAAAGCAUAUUUGACCUGUACGUAUAUUCUCUUUUAGUUAUGCCUACUAAUUAUUUCCUUAGAUCAAGUUUUCUUAAAUCUUGGGUCUACUGUUUCUGGAAUUUCUUAGGGAAGGCAUCUUUUAUCCAUCAAACUUAAUAGUCCUCGUGAGACAUGCGAUAGUGCAGAAAUAAUCAUUUUUAUGAUGAAUCUCGAAGGGUCAGGCUGAAGUCAACAAAAAAUGUAUUAAACAUUUCUAAGCUAAAAAAAAAAUGAUCUAUCUGCUGGAUGUUUAGAACAUGAAACUUGCAAAGUCUCCUUCGCACCUGAUAAAGGAUUUGUAGAUGCAUCUGCAAAUUUGUCUCCAGAGUUAUGUGUUGAAGAUCAUAGUACACUUGGAAGCCUUGGAUUGUCUAUUGAAAGGUCCUUUGAAGCAUUCCGUCCACUUCAAACAGGUAAUAUCAGUUCUAAUAACAUCAUUUCAGAUGGUGAAGCUGUGGCUGCCGCAUCUCGGAGACCAGCUUCCUUGCCUUUAGAACCUACUCAUGUAAGAGCGGGAGGUGAUCUGAAGUCAUGUGAUCCUGCCGUUCUUAUUUUAGAUGAAAAUAAGGAUGUGGAAGAGCCCUCAAAAGCCAAGGAACAACUUGAGAAUAUUUUUGUUCCUGAUGACUCUCAUAUUCCUGUUUCUACAGCAAUGAAGCAUGAUGGUCCCUUCUUAUAUUGAUCAAGGGCCGAAGAGACCAUCACCCCCAUACGAAGCCAAUCCUAUUCGAAGAUGGCUGGAAUUACUCAAGUAUUUCUAUAAAAUCCUACGACCCUCAUCGAGCAGUUUGUUUAUCCAUCAAAUUUUGCAUUGAACUGCUGCAGGUGCGCACAGAGGAAGAAUUGAAAUUGCCAUGCUUGGCACAAAAGACUGUAGUACUGAUAUUUAAACACUUCUAGAUGUUGUGCCAGAAACAGGUUGCAGCCCAUUCCCUUCUGUUGGCAUCCCCUCCUGCACCUGCGACGAUGACCCAUGCCCAACACUCGAACCUGAAGGAGAAACUCAAGCACAAUCCCCUUGUCACUCACGGAGCGCACCAAACGAGCUGGACAAAAUGGAAGAGCAGAGAUUUGAUAGAGCGAGCUGCUCAGGUAUCUUCUGGAAUAGAAGAAGCUGCCAUAGAGAACACCAAUGCAAUUCAGAGAUAAAUGCUUGAUUUGGCUUUUGCUUGUGAAUAAUCCAGUUCAUAGAAUCGCAAUGAGAGAGAUGACUGGCUAUUGUUUUUUUAGUGGCUUGCCCCAUUAUACAUCUUCUGUGCUUCAGCUAUGUAUAUGUUAUUUGCUUUCUCUUGGUAUUUCAGUAGUCAGCUGCAGCCUCCAAAUCUUUCAGGUAAUUUGAAGGUUAGGAUUGAUGGUCUUGUAGUUUGUUGUAAAUUAUUGUAUCAGGUCCAUGCCUUUAUUUGUUGGCAAAUCAUUGGAUUUCUGAUUACAUUCAGUAAUCAAACCAGCAAUAGUUUCUUAUCACUUAAUGUAGCAAGUUUGAGUUGCCUA